rnacentral:rRNA from 1 species
UUAAGCGACUAAGCGUACACGGUGGAUGCCCUGGCAGUCAGAGGCGAUGAAGGGCGUGCUAAUCUGCGAUAAGCGCCGGUAAGGUGAUAUGAACCGUUAUAACCGGCGAUACCCGAAUGGGGAAACCCAGUGUGACUCGUCACACUAUCAUUAACUGAAUCCAUAGGUUAAUGAGGCGAACCGGGGGAACUGAAACAUCUAAGUACCCCGAGGAAAAGAAAUCAACCGAGAUUCCCCCAGUAGCGGCGAGCGAACGGGGAGGAGCCCAGAGCCUGAAUCAGCAUAUGUGUUAGUGGAAGCGUCUGGAAAGGCGCGCGAUACAGGGUGACAGCCCCGUACACAAAAGCGCAUGUGCUGUGAGCUCGAUGAGUAGGGCGGGACACGUGGUAUCCUGUCUGAAUAUGGGGGGACCAUCCUCCAAGGCUAAAUACUCCUGACUGACCGAUAGUGAACCAGUACCGUGAGGGAAAGGCGAAAAGAACCCCGGCGAGGGGAGUGAAAAAGAACCUGAAACCGUGUACGUACAAGCAGUGGGAGCACAGGUUUACCUGUGUGACUGCGUACCUUUUGUAUAAUGGGUCAGCGACUUAUAUUCUGUAGCAAGGUUAACCGAAUAGGGGAGCCGGAGGGAAACCGAGUCUUAAUUGGGCGUUAAGUUGCAGGGUAUAGACCCGAAACCCGGUGAUCUAGCCAUGGGCAGGUUGAAGGUUGGGUAACACUAACUGGAGGACCGAACCGACUAAUGUUGAAAAAUUAGCGGAUGACCUGUGGCUGGGGGUGAAAGGCCAAUCAAACCGGGAGAUAGCUGGUUCUCCCCGAAAGCUAUUUAGGUAGCGCCUCGUGAAUUCAUCUCCGGGGGUAGAGCACUGUUUCGGCUAGGGGGCCAUCCCGGCUUACCAACCCGAUGCAAACUGCGAAUACCGGAGAAUGUUAUCACGGGAGACACACGGCGGGUGCUAACGUCCGUCGUGAAGAGGGAAACAACCCAGACCGCCAGCUAAGGUCCCAAAGUCAUGGUUAAGUGGGAAACGAUGUGGGAAGGCCCAGACAGCCAGGAUGUUGGCUUAGAAGCAGCCAUCAUUUAAAGAAAGCGUAAUAGCUCACUGGUCGAGUCGGCCUGCGCGGAAGAUGUAACGGGGCUAAACCAUGCACCGAAGCUGCGGCAGCGACGCUGAUGCGUUGUUGGGUAGGGGAGCGUUCUGUAAGCCUGCGAAGGUGGCCUGUGAGGGUUGCUGGAGGUAUCAGAAGUGCGAAUGCUGACAUAAGUAACGAUAAAGCGGGUGAAAAGCCCGCUCGCCGGAAGACCAAGGGUUCCUGUCCAACGUUAAUCGGGGCAGGGUGAGUCGACCCCUAAGGCGAGGCCGAAAGGCGUAGUCGAUGGGAAACGGGUUAAUAUUCCCGUACUUGGUGUUACUGCGAAGGGGGGACGGAGAAGGCUAUGUUGGCCGGGCGACGGUUGUCCCGGUUUAAGCGUGUAGGUGUGUGUUCCAGGUAAAUCCGGUUCACUUUAACACUGAGGCGUGAUGACGAGGCACUACGGUGCUGAAGCAACAAAUGCCCUGCUUCCAGGAAAAGCCUCUAAGCAUCAGGUAACAUCAAAUCGUACCCCAAACCGACACAGGUGGUCAGGUAGAGAAUACCAAGGCGCUUGAGAGAACUCGGGUGAAGGAACUAGGCAAAAUGGUGCCGUAACUUCGGGAGAAGGCACGCUGACACGUAGGUGAAGUGAUUUACUCAUGGAGCUGAAGUCAGUCGAAGAUACCAGCUGGCUGCAACUGUUUAUUAAAAACACAGCACUGUGCAAACACGAAAGUGGACGUAUACGGUGUGACGCCUGCCCGGUGCCGGAAGGUUAAUUGAUGGGGUCAGCGCAAGCGAAGCUCCUGAUCGAAGCCCCGGUAAACGGCGGCCGUAACUAUAACGGUCCUAAGGUAGCGAAAUUCCUUGUCGGGUAAGUUCCGACCUGCACGAAUGGCGUAAUGAUGGCCAGGCUGUCUCCACCCGAGACUCAGUGAAAUUGAACUCGCUGUGAAGAUGCAGUGUACCCGCGGCAAGACGGAAAGACCCCGUGAACCUUUACUAUAGCUUGACACUGAACAUUGAGCCUUGAUGUGUAGGAUAGGUGGGAGGCUUUGAAGUGUGGACGCCAGUCUGCAUGGAGCCGGCCUUGAAAUACCACCCUUUAAUGUUUGAUGUUCUAACGUGGACCCGUGAUCCGGGUUGCGGACAGUGUCUGGUGGGUAGUUUGACUGGGGCGGUCUCCUCCUAAAGAGUAACGGAGGAGCACGAAGGUUGGCUAAUCCUGGUCGGACAUCAGGAGGUUAGUGCAAUGGCAUAAGCCAGCUUGACUGCGAGCGUGACGGCGCGAGCAGGUGCGAAAGCAGGUCAUAGUGAUCCGGUGGUUCUGAAUGGAAGGGCCAUCGCUCAACGGAUAAAAGGUACUCCGGGGAUAACAGGCUGAUACCGCCCAAGAGUUCAUAUCGACGGCGGUGUUUGGCACCUCGAUGUCGGCUCAUCACAUCCUGGGGCUGAAGUAGGUCCCAAGGGUAUGGCUGUUCGCCAUUUAAAGUGGUACGCGAGCUGGGUUUAGAACGUCGUGAGACAGUUCGGUCCCUAUCUGCCGUGGGCGCUGGAGAACUGAGGGGGGCUGCUCCUAGUACGAGAGGACCGGAGUGGACGCAUCACUGGUGUUCGGGUUGUCAUGCCAAUGGCACUGCCCGGUAGCUAAAUGCGGAAGAGAUAAGUGCUGAAAGCAUCUAAGCACGAAACUUGCCCCGAGAUGAGUUCUCCCUGAGACUUAGAGUCUCCUGAAGGAACGUUGAAGACGACGACGUUGAUAGGCCGGGUGUGUAAGCGCAGCGAUGCGUUGAGCUAACCGGUACUAAUGAACCGUGAGGCUUAACCUU